CCUGAGGGAUUUAAGACUGCGGGGAAACAACAGUGUCUCUCUGCCCUGUGGGAAUUUAUGUGGGAAGUUGUACUUGAGAGCAAAAACAGACACUUGUUGAGGAGAUUGUUGAACCACGGGAGACGUGGUGUUGAGAGAAAAGUCAUACCGACCGGAUGAUGACGGCUUUUAUUUUCCCUGCAUACUUAAACAUUAUGUCCUCGAAGUGGAGCAAAGUUAUUCAUCUUCCAACAGGAACAGCAAUAUAAGAUCUCCACCUCCACACCGAUUCCCCCGCGCAAUCAGUGAUACUCCUCGACAGCACUGAGGUUUAUAAGGCUGUGGCUGUCUGUGCUAACAUCCAGGCAAGUUAAGAGGCCACGUUAAGACUGAACGGUGGACUAAAUGAUAUAUUCCACAAACCUCAGCGAACACAAACGGAGCGUCGUGUUUCAGAAAGACCUGACCAUGGCGGACAGCGGCAAGAGAAGCAGGCCCACAGCGGAAGGU